GCCCGGAUUGCUCCCAACCCGCUUCGUUUCCGGGUCGAUUCUGAAACCGCGACACUGCCUUGCCUGGCCAUCCACACAGUGAGAGAGCGAGAGGGAUGGCGGGACUCCUAGCAUGGGCAGCAGACGUAGUGGGAGGAGGUGGCGGGCAAGACAACGAACAAGACAUCCCGCUGAUAUUCACUCAGGAGUAGCAGAAGUGUGUCCUGGACUUGGAUCACAAAGCAUCUUCUCUCGGCCGUUCGAUCCAUAACCUCCGGCUCAGACUCCCUCCUUCCGACAUCUCUCAGCGCCUCCCUGAUCUCCACGCCCACUCCCUGGCUUCCAACGCCGCCCUUGCUCUCCAGUUGAACUCCCAUUCCACCACCCGCGAACAGGCAUUGCAGGAAGAGAAUGCUGCAUAUGAAAGCGCUGUAUCCAAUUGUGAAAGUAAAAUACAGGAGAGAAUUCAAGAAGCAGAUUUGCUUAAGAGGAAGCUCACAGUGAGCCUUACGUUUCCCACAACUUAUUUUUUCAUGAUGCUCUUAUUCAUCAUGUAUUGUAGUCCUACACUUGUAUCUUGAUCUUUAUUUGAUGAUGUUGAGGACAUCGAACUUUAGUUAAUGGAAAGUCACACCCUUUCUGAAAUUCGGUGAUUACGGUUAUCAGGAGAUGGACGAGAGUGAAGGGAAUUUGAGAGAUGAACUUGAAAAUGCAGAAACCGCAUUGGAUGCCAGUCGAUCUGGCCAAUCAGAUGAAUCCACUGGUGACCCAAAUACGACAGUUGAAACAGAAAAUGACAUUGAAGCUUCAAAGAAGGCUAUACUUGAAAAGUUCGAGGAGAGGAAAAAAGACUUGGUCAGUUGCAUCUUUCCUUUUGAUCUUACAGUAGUUUCAUCUUCUCCAUUGCAAUUGCUUGUUUGUAUUUUUGAAUUUUAUCUUGAUUGCUGGAAAGAUGUUGUAUUCUGUUUGAAUUUUAUCUUGAUUGCUCUACAUUUUAGCUUUUGAACAUAUUGGUCUUCAUCAAGAUCGUUUUGAAGAGUGUUCCAUGAAGACGCUAUCGAUAUUUCCAAAUUCUGUUUGUAUGCUAAACCUAAUAUAUCUUGUAUUGUAAAAGAUGGAGGGAAUGAGAAGUUUAGAACACAAGAGGAGAGGGGGUGUGAAGAACUUUGUUGUAUGAAAUAUACUUGGUUUCAAAUA